rnacentral:rRNA from 1 species
UUAAACUGAAGAGUUUGAUCCUGGCUCAGAUUGAACGCUGGCGGCAUGCCUUACACAUGCAAGUCGAACGGCAGCACGGGUGCUUGCACCUGGUGGCGAGUGGCGAACGGGUGAGUAAUACAUCGGAACAUGUCCUGUAGUGGGGGAUAGCCCGGCGAAAGCCGGAUUAAUACCGCAUACGAUCCAUGGAUGAAAGCGGGGGACCUUCGGGCCUCGCGCUAUAGGGUUGGCCGAUGGCUGAUUAGCUAGUUGGUGGGGUAAAGGCCUACCAAGGCGACGAUCAGUAGCUGGUCUGAGAGGACGACCAGCCACAC